rnacentral:rRNA from 1 species
CUGUGAGGGUUGCUGGAGGUAUCAGAAGUGCGAAUGCUGACAUAAGUAACGAUAAAGCGGGUGAAAAGCCCGCUCGCCGGAAGACCAAGGGUUCCUGUCCAACGUUAAUCGGGGCAGGGUGAGUCGACCCCUAAGGCGAGGCCGAAAGGCGUAGUCGAUGGGAAACAGGUUAAUAUUCCUGUACUUGGUGUUACUGCGAAGGGGGGACGGAGAAGGCUAUGUUGGCCGGGCGACGGUUGUCCCGGUUUAAGCGUGUAGGCUGGUUUUCCAGGCAAAUCCGGAAAAUCAAGGCUGAGGCGUGAUGACGAGGCACUACGGUGCUGAAGCAACAAAUGCCCUGCUUCCAGGAAAAGCCUCUAAGCAUCAGGUAACAUCAAAUCGUACCCCAAACCGACACAGGUGGUCAGGUAGAGAAUACCAAGGCGCUUGAGAGAACUCGGGUGAAGGAACUAGGCAAAAUGGUGCCGUAACUUCGGGAGAAGGCACGCUGACACGUAGGUGAAGUGAUUUACUCACGGAGCUGAAGUCAGUCGAAGAUACCAGCUGGCUGCAACUGUUUAUUAAAAACACAGCACUGUGCAAACACGAAAGUGGACGUAUACGGUGUGACGCCUGCCCGGUGCCGGAAGGUUAAUUGAUGGGGUCAGCGCAAGCGAAGCUCCUGAUCGAAGCCCCGGUAAACGGCGGCCGUAACUAUAACGGUCCUAAGGUAGCGAAAUUCCUUGUCGGGUAAGUUCCGACCUGCACGAAUGGCGUAAUGAUGGCCAGGCUGUCUCCACCCGAGACUCAGUGAAAUUGAACUCGCUGUGAAGAUGCAGUGUACCCGCGGCAAGACGGAAAGACCCCGUGAACCUUUACUAUAGCUUGACACUGAACAUUGAGCCUUGAUGUGUAGGAUAGGUGGGAGGCUUUGAAGUGUGGACGCCAGUCUGCAUGGAGCCGACCUUGAAAUACCACCCUUUAAUGUUUGAUGUUCUAACGUGGACCCGUAAUCCGGGUUGCGGACAGUGUCUGGUGGGUAGUUUGACUGGGGCGGUCUCCUCCUAAAGAGUAACGGAGGAGCACGAAGGUUGGCUAAUCCUGGUCGGACAUCAGGAGGUUAGUGCAAUGGCAUAAGCCAGCUUGACUGCGAGCGUGACGGCGCGAGCAGGUGCGAAAGCAGGUCAUAGUGAUCCGGUGGUUCUGAAUGGAAGGGCCAUCGCUCAACGGAUAAAAGGUACUCCGGGGAUAACAGGCUGAUACCGCCCAAGAGUUCAUAUCGACGGCGGUGUUUGGCACCUCGAUGUCGGCUCAUCACAUCCUGGGGCUGAAGUAGGUCCCAAGGGUAUGGCUGUUCGCCAUUUAAAGUGGUACGCGAGCUGGGUUUAGAACGUCGUGAGACAGUUCGGUCCCUAUCUGCCGUGGGCGCUGGAGAACUGAGGGGGGCUGCUCCUAGUACGAGAGGACCGGAGUGGACGCAUCACUGGUGUUCGGGUUGUCAUGCCAAUGGCACUGCCCGGUAGCUAAAUGCGGAAGAGAUAAGUGCUGAAAGCAUCUAAGCACGAAACUUGCCCCGA